rnacentral:rRNA from 1 species
ACGAACGCUGGCGGCGUGCUUAACCCCUGCCAGUCGAACGGAAAGGCCCUGCUUUUGUGGGGUGCUCGAGUGGCGAACGGGUGACUAACACGUGAGUAACCUGCCCUUGACUUUGGGAUAACUUCAGGAAACUGGGGCUAAUAUCGGAUAGGAGCUCCUGCUGCAUGGUGGGGGUUGGAAAGUUUCGGCGGUUGGGGAUGGACUCGCGGCUUAUCAGCUUGUUGGUGGGGUAGUGGCUUACCAAGGCUUUGACGGGUAGCCGGCCUGAGAGGGUGACCGGCCACAUUGGGACUGAGAUACGGCCCAGACUCCUACGGGAGGCAGCAGUGGGGAAUAUUGCACAAUGGGCGGAAGCCUGAUGCAGCAACGCCGCGUGCGGGAUGACGGCCUUCGGGUUGUAAACCGCUUUCGCCUGUGACGAAGCGUGAGUGACGGUAAUGGGUAAAGAAGCACCGGCUAACUACGUG